UACGUAGGGUGCGAGCGUUAAUCGGAAUUACUGGGCGUAAAGCGGGCGCAGACGGUUACUUAAGCAGGAUGUGAAAUCCCCGGGCUCAACCUGGGAACUGCGUUCUGAACUGGGUGACUAGAGUGUGUCAGAGGGAGGUAGAAUUCCACGUGUAGCAGUGAAAUGCGUAGAGAUGUGGAGGAAUACCGAUGGCGAAGGCAGCCUCCUGGGAUAACACUGACGUUCAUGCCCGAAAGCGUGGGUAGCAAACAGGAUUAGAUACCCUGGUAGUCCACGCCCUAAACGAUGUCGAUUAGCUGUUGGGCAGCUUGACUGCUUAGUAGCGAAGCUAACGCGUGAAAUCGACCGCCUGGGGGGUACGGUCGCAAGGCUAAAACUC
rnacentral:rRNA from 1 species